rnacentral:lncRNA from 1 species
GAGUAUCCAAAGAGUCAGUAGACAUCGAUCAAAGGUGUUCGAUCAACAUCGGCCAUCAAAAAGGUGCAGUCACGAACUAGCAUUCGUGAGGAGCCGAUCGGAUCAGGAGCUUCGUGUGGGUGAUCUGCAGAGGUCAGACAUACUGUGUGGCUGUAUUACAAUGAUCAGAUCCUUCUGACGGUGAUCAGAUUACGACGAUCAACUAUCCGCACAAAGGUAAUAUGUUCUGAACACAUAACAGUAAAUUAUUUACUGUUCAAAUUUGAAUUUCAAAUUUAAAUACAUGCAUGCUAUAUAUCAUAUUGAGAUCCUAGUAUAGGAUAAAUAUAUAUUAAUUAAUUAGAUUAAUUAAUAAUUUUUACUGUAAAAUAAUGAUUUUGAAAAAAUUUUAAAAUUACCAUUUUACCCCUACACUAAAUUUUACUUCAGAUAGUUGGUCCACUGUAAGAGUAGGGUGCAC